AAGAAAGAGAAAAUAUUACUGGAGAAAACCAUGCCAAGCCUGAGAAUGUUGAGUACCCGAGGCCAAGCUCAACAAGGCCAGGGAACUUUCCGGUUGGGGAUCCUAUGGAGAGUCUGACUCUGGAACUGGUGCUACAGACAGACGUUGUUAAAGCUGGUCAAUCCAAGUUUCUGCAGCCUCUGUGGAGGGGAACAUGACGGCUGACAGCCUCUACUAACAGGUUGGGGCUCCCUCCUGCUGCUCCUGCCUUCCCAGCCACCAGCUCAUUGGAGCAAGACCAGGAUUAAGUGGACCUACAAGGAUCUGCACAUUUGGUCCCAGUACCCUCCCAGUUCACCCCAUAUCCCACCCACGUGGACUCCUCAUCCUCAUUUUUGUACUGCCAACCUUUGCCUGGGACAAGGCUUCUUUCUGACCCUGCUUGCCUAGAAAAGCCCAAUCAUCCUUCAAGAACCAGCUCAAAGUUCACCUCCUCUGUGAAGGCUCCCCUGAAAUAGGAGUUACUCAUCCCCACAUGCUGAUUGAAUACUGUCAGUGCCCUUCAGCCAAAGACCACCAGGAACACACCAACAAUGAGACAAGUGAAUUGCUAGUCACUACAUCAGACCAGUGGCCUCCUCCAACAUAGGCGGCUGAGAGAAAUCGCCUGCAUUAGGUACCCUCUCCAAAAUGGCUCAUCAAGCACAGCGAAUGACAAGACUGGAGAGAGGAGGUGGGAAACCUAUCCCCGGAUGGCACAGCUGAGACAGAGGUAGGAAGAAGGGGAUCCGGCUCAUUUAUUUCCCUUUCAUUAGGCCCCUGAAAAAAAUAAAGACUGAGGAUUUAA